rnacentral:rRNA from 1 species
AUAUAUAUCUCCGUUACGGCACCGAAUGUUCUGCUUUAGCUCUCUCUUGCUAGCAAUGUCCUUUGCUAGCCAUGUCCUCCUAAUGCUCCCUCUCUAUUGUCUUCUUCUCUAUCUCUUCCCAUGUUCCAAACUUUCUAUAGAUAGGGAUAUGUCUAUAGAUAGGGAUAUGUUGAGAUAGAGAUUGAUUGGUUGAUAAAGUUGU